rnacentral:rRNA from 1 species
UCAUCAUGCCCCUUAUGACCUGGGCUACACACGUGCUACAAUGGCCGGUACAAAGAGUUGCGAAACUGUGAAGUUAAGCUAAUCUCAUAAAGCCGGUCUCAGUUCGGAUUGUAGUCUGCAACUCGACUACAUGAAGUCGGAAUCGCUAGUAAUCGCGAAUCAGAAUGUCGCGGUGAAUACGUUCUCGAGGUCCUU